rnacentral:tRNA from 6 species
GGACAUGUAGCUCAGUGGUAGAGCAGAUCUUAGUCGACAAAGUGCAGGGGUUCAAUUCCUCUCAUGUCCA